rnacentral:rRNA from 1 species
AUUGAACGCUGGCGGCAGGCUUAACACAUGCAAGUCGAACGAGUGGCGGACGGGUGAGUAAGGCUUGGGAAUCUCGCUUAUGGAGGGGGAUAACUACGGAAAACUGUAGCUAAUACCGCGUACCAUAGGAUGAGCCCAAGUGGGAUUAGGUAGUUGGUGAGGUAAAGGUUCACCAAGACGACGAUCUCUAGCUGGUCUGCGAGGAUGACCCGCCACCCUGGGAUUUAGACACGGCCCAGACUCCUACGUGAGGCAGCAGUGGGGAAUAUUGCGCAAUGGGGGCAACCCUGACGCAGCCAUGCCGCGUGUAUGAAGAAGGCCUUCGGGUUGUAAAGUACUUUCAGUCGGGAGGCGUUACCGACAGAAGAAGCACCGGCUAACUCCGUGCCAGCAGCCGCGGUAAUAC